rnacentral:lncRNA from 1 species
GCGAAAGCGUGUAAGAUAUCCCUCCCUGGGGGAGGGCAUAGCAUCAACGGAGUGUGAUGGAGACUGUUCAUAUCAUAGCUGAGAACACAGAGGGAACCAUGGUCACUGGCGGAUGCAAGAGACCUGUCCCUGAUGUGAUCCAAGCAAGAGGAAACCUGCCCUUCUCAAAAGCACAGAUGGAGGGAGGCCUUGCUGCUUCCUGAAGGAGCAAAGCAUGACUCAUUUUUAUAAAAGUGCAUGUGUGUGCGCUUGUGAUGACAACAUGAAAAACAGCCAUGACCUAAUUUAAAUGUUUAAAAGUAACUCAAAGGAAACAGUUCCAAGUGAAGCGUCCGUUCCCCACCUAACAUCCCUC